rnacentral:lncRNA from 1 species
UGCGCGGUGGUGGCGAAGGUUGUGAAAUGAAAUGAGAGUUGUAAGGAUAAAACUGGAAUUCUUCAAUAAUAAUAAUAGGGGCAUGUGGUUGUUGAUAAAAAAAAUAAUAAUAGGGGCAUGUGGUGGAUGCGGUGAUAUAGAAUCAAAGAAGAGCACCUCAAUUCAGACGGAUGGGUUCUCUUCUCAUGUGCAAUUUUCAUCGCAGG